GACGAACGCUGGCGGCGUGCUUAACACAUGCAAGUCGAGCGAUGAAGCCCAGCUCGCUGGGUGGAUUAGUGGCGAACGGGUGAGUAACACGUGGGCAACCUGCCCCAAACUCUGGGAUAACUCCUCGAAAGAGGUGCUAAUACCGGAUACGAACUAGACAGACAUCUGUACUAGUUGGAAAGUUUUUCGGUUUGGGAUGGGCCCGCGGCCUAUCAGCUUGUUGGUGAGGUAACGGCUCACCAAGGCUACGCCGGGUAACCGGCCUGAGAGGGCGACCGGUCACACUGGGACUGAGACACGGCCCAGACUCCUACGGGAGGCAGCAGUGGGGAAUAUUGCGCAAUGGGCGAAAGCCUGACGCAGCGACGCCGCGUGAGGGAUGAAGGUCUUCGGAUCGUAAACCUCUUUCAGUAGGGACGAAGCGAAAGUGACGGUACCUAAAGAAGAAGCACCGGCUAACUACGUGCCAGCAGCCGCCGUAA
rnacentral:rRNA from 1 species